rnacentral:pre_miRNA from 1 species
GGGGGGAUGCCGGAUCCUGGGCUGUGUCCCCGGCGCACUGUGCUCCCGGGCCUGCGCUGUUGGAUUCGCCCUCCCGGCUGGGCAGCCCCCU